GGCAAUUUUAAUUAAAUAGACUUAAUCUCAGUAAUGUGCUGGUAACAUAAAUGUCAUGUUUUCAUAGGAAAACUUAUUUAUAAAUCUUUACACCUUUAUUGUCAGUUAGGUGAGGGGAGUCCUGGUGUGAUUUGACAUCCUAACCAGUAGGAUCUUUUCUGCAUACACUACCGGAGCGCCUGGGGCCUUUAUGCCCAUGAUCUACUGAAUGUUUCUGAAAAACUAUUUCUCUUUUUUUGUGUUCCUGAGUACUUGGCAGAUGUUCAUUUAGUGGGAAUUCUGACCUACCACAUGGAUGAACUUGAAAUUAAUGGCAAGGGAAAAAAAAAACGAACUUAUUUUCUUUUAAAGAAAGAAACUUAAAAAAGAGCAUAAGUAUUUCUAAAAAGCCAUUGAAAGGAAGCAUGCUGUUUGUAAUUUAGAAAUGCUUUUUAUUCACUGAUAAGUAUUCACUUUUUUACAGCUUGUAUCAAAACAAAUGAUUUUGGUUUUCUCAUAAAGGGCAAAACAGGUUGACACCAAUGGGUUGGCAUUUCUUAAAAUUUUUGCUAUCAGGUUUUAUCCUUUAAUAAUGUUAUUUGUACUUCUAAAUUACAGCUUUUAGUUAAUUAUGAAAUCAGUUAUUUCAUUUGUUUCUUGACUUCUCCUCCAUAUUAUGAAUGCUGUUUUUAAAAUAUACUACACAAAUUUGCAUCCCUUUUUUUCUCUUAUAGCUUUUAUAGUUAAUAUAUUCUAAACUUGAAAAUUGUGGUAUCAAUCAAUAAUAGAGGUGUCACUGGAGGAUUUAAUUUUGUAUUAUGUGUAGAAAUAGCUACUAAAGUGUGUAAGCCUUAAAGUUUAAAACAUUUUUCUUAAAUAACUAUACACAGAUUUUUCAUUUUUUUCAUAAAGUGGGAGGAGAUAGGUCAUUCUGCUUGCUUUUCUUUUUUUAUUUCCAUAAUCGGAAGCAGUACAGGCUAGGGUAUGUUAAUCAAGUGAGCAAGAUGAGAUAUGUAAAAUAUAAAGAGAAGCUGUAUAAAUCACAGUAUAAAAUUAAGUUUGGGAAUUGUAAAAUGUACUGUAUUUAUAUGUAACUCAUUCUAAAAGUUGCCACAAAGGCUGAAUUGGAAGCUUCAUGUCUGCAUGAAAUUUCCUAUAUUUUUAAUGUGUAUGAUGGACUUAAUUUUUCUUGAAUAUUAAAAUCUGACAAUUGCUAUGAAA
rnacentral:lncRNA from 1 species